AACGCGAAGAACCUUACCUGGGUUUGACAUCCUCCGACAGCUCUAGAGAUAGAGUUUUCCCUUCGGGGACGGAGAGACAGGUGCUGCAUGGCUGUCGUCAGCUCGUAUCGUGAGAUGUCGGGUUAAGUCCCUUAACGAGCGCAACCCUUGUCCCUAGUUGCCACCAUUUAGUUGGGCACCCUAGGGAGACCGCCGGUGUUAAACCGGAGGAAGGUGGGGAUGACGUCAAGUCCUCAUGGCCCUUAUGUCCAGGGCUACACACGUGCUACAAUGGCCGGUACAAAGGGAUGCCAACUGGCAACAGGGAGCUAACCCCAAAAAGCCGGUCUCAGUUCGAAUUGAAGUCUGCAACUCGACUUCAUGAAGCUGGAAUCGCUAGUAAUCGCGGAUCAGCAUGCCGCGGUGAAUACGUUCCCGGGCCUUGUACACACCGGCUAC
rnacentral:rRNA from 1 species